GAAAGAUGGUGGAAUGAGACGGACCUUAUUACCCUAUGUACAUGCAUGAUUAUAAGAUUCGUGUUCAAGUUCCUAGUCUUACUUGUCUUUGAUGCCCAUAUGCCCCUAUGAUUAUGUGAGGCUUCUAAUAGAUUCCCUCUUUUGCCCAAGUUUAAGUAGCAUUUCUGUUACUUGAUAUCAUUGAAGUCUUGAUAAAAACUGUUGUAAAAGGUAAUUCUAAAAUCAAUGUAGAUGUGUUUAGGAUCCGUGUGUGUAUUGGUGGGAGGUGAGAUUAUAGUAAAUAGUAACCAGGAGCAGGGAGAUAGUUUAUGAGACUGUUUCAGUAAUCCACCUGAAGGUAAUAACAAUCUGAGCUAAGGCACAUCAGGGGGCCAGGCUUGCCAUGACCCGUUUCUUAUAAGCCUUGAGCCAGCUGCCCAUAUCUAUGGGCUGGUCAUCUUUAUAUGGUUGCAGUGUAACUAGUCACUAUUUAUUAUGGGCAUUUUCCCUAUGUCCUUAGGCAUAGUUAUAAUAGCUGCUUAAAAAUUCUUGUUUGUUAAUUCUGAAAAUGUUGGUCAUCUUGGGGUCACUUUUUAUUGAUUGCCUUUCUUCUUCAGUAUGGGUAAUAUAUUCCUGUUUCCUAUAUAUCCAUUCAUUUUGACUUGUCUCCUGAACAUUGUAGAGGAUGCAAAUCUGUAAUUCAUUUUUUUCCCUAUGAAAAGUAUUGAUUUUUGUUUUUGUUUUAGCAGACAGUUAAUAUAACUCAAACUCCAUACUCAGUCUCUCUUAUGGUAGGCACCAACUGAAAUACCUAUUCAGUUCUUUGAAAUUUACAUGGACUGUUUGAAGAUGGCCCCACACACUUAUAAUUCAGAGGUUUGUCAGACUUUGAGGCAUUUUAUAUGCAGAAUUUAGGGCUCUACCUAUCAAGCUUGGUCCAUUCUAGGAUUUUACCCCUACUCUUUCCAGCUUCUGUGGAAACCCUGAGCUCUGUCCUCUGAUUUUCAAGUUAGUAAGAUUCAAUUUCAGCCAGCCACCAGAGCACUGACUGGGGCCUACUCUGUGGCUAAAAGUCUUAAAAAUGGGAAGCUCAUCUAGAUCUGAUCCCAUCUUUGAAGUGUUGAUUUUCUUCCAGUUUCUGCCUACUUGUCAAUAUUUGCAGGCAGUUAUUUUUUUUUUUAAUAUUUUGUCCAGGGUAUAUACUUGCUAUAUUUGAAGGAAGAUGAACUUGAUGAAAGCUACUUGGUCUUUUAUUGGAAGCCAAAACCUGUCAAGUCACUACUAUUAUUUAACCUGUGGCAUAUAUGGCAGGAGCACUCUAGUGCAGUAAGAAUUUGUAUGUAGGCUUUGGAUGUUUGAUCCAGAAGAUAUGACUUGAUAAAGGAAGUCUUUACAAUUAAGUAAGCUAAAGGUGAUGACAUUUUAGGAUGACACGUUUGGAGGUAUGAGGGGCUUGGUAAUCUCCCACUUGGUCUGCUGUGAACUUAAAUAAUGUCACCCUACACAGGUGGAAUCCUACUGUCACCAACCUGAGUGCCUCUCCCAUAAGGAGUUUCAUUCAUCAAACACCUCCUAUCCUAGUAUCUCUGGAUCACCUCUGCUUUUUUUUUUUUUUAAAAAAAAGCAAUAUUUGAACUUAAUGUAGUAAACUAUACUUUCUUUGCAGUUUAUAGACCAGAACAACAGGCCAAGACCACUACCCAGUCCUCUGCCAGACCUACUGUGUGGGAUGCACAGGGUAGAUAAAUUGACAAGUGUUUUACUGGGUUGGAUGGUCAGGGAUUAGUGACAAAGUAUAGGCAGGGAAAUAAAAGAGAGGAGUUAAGGACUAGCUUCAAAUUUCUGCUUUUAGCAUCUAGAUGGGUGGUAAAUAGAGGAGAGAAAAGAAAGCAAGUUUAAGGGAGAAGGUGAAUUCAGCUUUGGCCAUGUUUGAAGUAUCUGUGAGACAGUUAAGCAGAAUAUAUAUGAAUCUGGAAGGCUGAAGAGACGUCUGAGAGGGUGAUAUAUAUUGAAGAAUGACUGGCAGAUAAGCAUAUAUGAAGCUACCUGUGUAAGUGAUAUAACUGGAUAACAUAUACAGAAUGGGAACUGAUAACAAAGCCCAGUGGUAAAGCAGGGGAUACUGUAAGAAAUUAGUCACUUUGAGAGACUGAGAAGCAGUCAGAAAAGGAAAGUCAAAACAGGAAAUGUGGUAUACAGAAGCCAGGGGAGAUGAGUUUCAAGAAGGAGUUAGUGGCCAAUAGAGUUCAAUUCAGAGAAAAGCAAGGAAAGCAAGCACUAAAAAGCAUCCAUUGGAUUUAGCAUCUAAAAGAUCUUCACCUCAGAGUUCACAUUUGCAGUGGAGUGGCAGGGAGUGUGACCACAUUGUAGUGGUUUGAGGAGUACAUGGGGGUGGUAGAUAACAGCAUGUGGCUCUUAUUAAUCAUCCUUUCCAGAAACCAUUCCCCUGUGUAGUCCCCUACUCUUAAAUCUGGUGUGCUCUGUGAAAAUGUAAGGAAGUGAUGCUGCUUAAAUUCCAAGGGUAGGUUGUAAGAAGCCUUGAAACUUUUGCCUUGGCCUUUUGGAGCUCUGAACAACCACAUAAGAAAUCUGAGCACCUUGCUAAGGAGACCAAGUAAAGAAGCCCUGAGACGACAUGGAGUGAGACAGCAACACAGCUAAGCCCAAUUUCCAGAUAUCUCCACCAGGUGGCAGGCAUAGGAAUGAAGGAAGCCAUCUGGGGCCCUCCAGACCAACCUGCCAAUCAGCUGGAUACCACUGACCCCAUUAGAUACCUCAUAGGGUAGACUUGCCCACAUUCCUCACACAGUCAUGAAUAUAAUUAAAUAAUUAUUAUUUAAGCCCUAAGUUUUGGGGCGAUUUUUUUACACAUGAUGUAAAACCCGAAGAUUGGGUGUUGAAGUAGUGAGACUGUUAGUGCAUGUUAUACCUUCAAUAAGCUUGGAAAGAGAAUGAUCUAAUGGCAGCUGGAAGGUCACAAGACUGAGGGAAGAUUUUGAUAAAAAUGUUAGAGACUUGGGAAUGUGCACAGGCUGAUGGGGAAGAGCUAUGAGAAAGAGAAAAUUGAAAAUGUAGAAGAGGGAGGAGGCAGCUGAUGCAUGAAGUUCUCAUCCUAUCUGAUUUUAUUUCCUACUUUUCCAGCACAAUAGUUUUUAGACUUAUUUAAAAUGCAAUUUUAUUUUGAAAUAGUUUUAGAUUUACAGAAAGUUUGCAAAAAAGACAGUUACCAUGUGUGACCCACACUCUGGUAGAGGGUCUGAUCUUAGAAACCAGGAUAGUAGGAUACUUUAGCUUCUAAAUUAGAAAGUAUCUUCCCUCCUCUGGAUAUUUAAAAAUGCCAAGCUUUCAAACAUAUAUAAUUAUAUAAAUGUUACAUGUGUAUGUAUGUGUGUAUGUGUUUAUAUAUGUUUUACAUGUAUGUAUAGGAUAUAU
rnacentral:lncRNA from 1 species